CCUUGAUACUUGAAAAUGGAUUUACAAAUUUCAUCCGAAUCUGGUUUGGGGAAACGCCUUGACACCUCCUCCAACUGCUAAUGGCCAAGUCUCAAUUCCCAGCUUAAUGAGAAGGAGAGUUGAAGGAUGGAGAAAGAGGACCCUCUUUGCAUCCCCACUCCCAGGCCUGUGUCCUCCCGCACAGUUUAUUUGCCCAGCGAUCUGACCCACACACCUCCUACAUAAGAAGAUAAACUGAAUCAGCAAGAGGAUACAGUUUCUUCAUCUCCCUGUCCCAAGACGUCACCUUGCACUCUUCAGCCAAUCAAUGAUACCACUCUUCAGCCCAUUCCAAAACCCUUAAAAUCCCUAGCUUCAAGCUUCUCUGGGAGACAGCUUUGAGGUUUCAUCUUGUCUCCUCGUUUGGCAGCCCUACAUUUAAAGCUUUAUCUCUGCUGCAACUCAGUGUCUCAUUGUAUUGAUUUGCCAUGCACAUUGGACAACAGAUCUAUUAUUAGAGAAAGGAAGAUGGGGAGAGAGAGAGAACCAAUACUUCAACUUUAUAUGGUUGAGGAAAUCUCAUAGUCUCCCUGAAUUCUCUUUCCUCCUCUACUCAUUGCACUUGGAAUCAGAACACUUGAGUGUAAACCUGGAUACCAGGUGCCUUGAACAAGUUAUUUAACCCUGCUAAUCUCAGUUUGCUCCUCUGUAAAAUGGGCAUCUGCUAACACGUAUCUGACAAGGCUGUUCUUACUAGUACAUGUGAUAAUAUGUGCCAAAUUUGAGUUUUCUUUGAAGUUCUAAGACGCCUCCUUCUCUUUGUGAAAAUACCUUUCUCUACCAAAAGAGAUAUAUAGACCAAUGGAACAGAACAGGAGCCUCAGAAAUAACACCACACAUUUACAACCAUUUGGUCUUUGACAAAUCUGACAAAAACAAGAAAUGGGGAAAGGAUUCCCUAUUUAAUAAAUGGUGCUGGGAAAACUGGCUAGCCAUAUGUAGAAAGCCGAAACUGGAUCCCUUCCUUACACCUUAUGCAAAAAUUAAUUCAAGAUGGAUUAAAGACUUAACUGUUAGACCUAAAACCAUAAAAAC
rnacentral:lncRNA from 10 species